GCCUACGGGGGGCAGCAGUGGGGAAUAUUGCGCAAUGGGCGAAAGCCUGACGCAGCGACGCCGCGUGAGGGAUGAAGGUCUUCGGAUCGUAAACCUCUGUCAGCAGGGAAGAACGGUCACUGUGCUAAUCAGCAGUGAAUUGACGGUACCUGCAAAGGAAGCACCGGCUAACUCCGUGCCAGCAGCCGCGGUAAUACGGAGGGUGCGAGCGUUAAUCGGAAUUACUGGGCGUAAGGCGCUCGUAGGCGGUAUGUCAAGUCAAGGGUGAAAUCCCCGCGCUCAACGUGGGAACUGCCUUUGAAACC
rnacentral:rRNA from 1 species